CUCCGGACCAGGUUGGGCCGUAACGCUGCUCCGCGGGGUCAGAAUGUCAUACCCAGGCUACCCGCCCACAGGCUAUCCACCUUUCCCUGGAUAUCCCCCUAUGGGUCAGGAGUCCUCUUUCCCUCCUCCUGGUCAGUAUCCUUAUCCUAGUGGUUUUCCUCCAAUGGGAGGAGGUGCCUACCCACCAGCAUCAAGUAGUGGCUACCCAGGAGCUGGAGGCUACCCUGCCCCUGGUGGUUAUCCAGCCCCUGGAGGCUAUCCCGGCGCCCCACAGCCCGGCGGAGCUCCAUCCUAUCCUGGAGGCCAAGGGUUUGGAGCCCCACCAGGAGGAGCAGGCUUUUCUGCUUAUCCACAGCCACCUACACAGUCUUAUGGGGGUGGCCCAGCACAGGUCCCGCUACCUGGUGGUUUUCCUGGGGGAGCAAUGCCUUCUCAGUAUCCUGGAGGACAACCUCCUUACCCUAGUCAGCCUGCUGCGAUGACUCAGGGAACUCAGGGAACAAUCCGACCCGCUGCCAAUUUCGAUGCCAUGAGAGAUGCUGAAGUUCUUCGUAAAGCGAUGAAGGGUUUUGGUACAGACGAGCAGGCAAUUAUAGAUGUUGUGGCCAAUCGUUCCAAUGACCAAAGGCAAGAAAUUAAAGCAGCUUUUAAGACCAUGUAUGCAAGGAUUUAAUCAAAGAUCUUAAAUCAGAGUUAAGUGGAAAUAUGGAAGAACUGAUCCUUGCCCUGUUCAUGCCACCUACAUAUUAUGAUGCCUGGAGUUUACGGGAUGCAAUGAAGGGAGCAGGAACUCAGGAACGUGUGUUGAUUGAAAUUUUGUGCACAAGAACAAACCAGGAAAUCCGAGAAAUAGUCAGAUGUUAUCAAUCAGAAUUUGGGCGAGACCUUGAAAAGGACAUUAGGUCAGAUACAUCUGGGCAUUUUGAACGUUUACUUGUAUCCAUGUGCCAGGGAAAUCGUGAUGAGAACCAGAAUGUUAACCACCAACUGGCUCAGGAAGAUGCUCAGCGUCUCUACCAGGCUGGUGAGGGGAGACUAGGGACAGAUGAAUCUUGCUUUAACAUGAUUCUUGCCACAAGAAGCUUUCCUCAGCUAAAAGCUACCAUGGAGGCCUAUUCCAGGAUGGCUAAUCGAGAUUUGUUAAGCAGUGUCAGCCGUGAGUUUUCCGGAAAUGUUGAAAGCGGUUUGAAGACCAUCUUGCAGUGUGCCCUGAACCGCCCUGCCUUCUUUGCUGAGCGGCUCUACUAUUCUAUGAAAGGCGCCGGCACAGAUGACUCCACCCUGGUCAGGAUUGUGGUCACUCGAAGUGAGAUCGAUCUUGUGCAGAUAAAACAGAUGUUCAGUCAGAUGUAUCAGAAGACGCUGGGCACAGUGAUUGCAAGUGACACGAGUGGAGAUUACCGAAAGCUUCUUCUGGCCAUUGUGGGCCAGUAGGAGAGAUUUUUAUAAAUGAAUGAAGCUAUUCAAAGCUUAUCCUGCAAAGCAAUGACUGACCUGCAUGCAGCAACAUCAACCCUCACCUAACCAAAAGAGCUUUUACUAAGGACUGUGUCAGGGUAUUGUGCUUGGUUUGCACAUGUGGUUAUUGCCUUAAUUCCAAUGUUAUUUUUUUCUCUAUGUACAAUCAAGUAAAGCCAUAUCACAAUGAAAAAAA